AAGGAACCAAGGAAGAAGAGAGAGGAAAGGGCAAACAGGGGAGCUGACUCCCAGCCUUCAAAAGGCUGACCUGGAAAGUAAGACCUGCUUUCACCACCUCGCCGGGAAGAUGGGCUCUCAGAAGCUGCUGCCGGGCUAGCAACCCCAGAGCAGAAGAAAGGCAGGCUUCUUGGGUCCUGUACUGGCGAUGGAGCCCAUCACUGCGGUGAGGUCAUCUGGCCUCCUCCCACCCUUGGACACAAGAGCUGUAAGAAAACAUCAGUUCUUUCAGAUCCGACUGGUGGCACAACCCU